rnacentral:rRNA from 1 species
CCUACGGGAGGCUGCAGUGAGGAAUAUUGGUCAAUGGGCGCGAGCCUGAACCAGCCAAGUCGCGUGAAGGACGACUGCCCUAUGGGUUGUAAACCUCUUUUAUAAAGGAAUAAUGUGUGCCACGUGUGGCUUGUUGCCUGUACCUUAUGAAUAAGCAUCGGCUAACUCCGUGCCAGCAGCCGCGGUAAUACGGAGGAUGCGAGCGUUAUCCGGAUUUAUUGGGUUUAAAGGGGGCGUAGGUGGGUUGUUAAGUUAGUUGUUAAAGUUUGGGGCUUAAACGUAAAAUUGCAAUUGAUACUGGAAGUCUUGAGUUCAGAUGAGGUAGGCGGAAUACGUGAUGUAGCGGUGAAAUGCUUAGAUAUCACGUAGAACUCCGAUAGCGAAGGCAGCUUACUAAACUGCCACUGACGUUGAAGCACGAGAGUGUGGGUAGCAAACAGGAUUAGAUACCCUUGUAGUC